UUUGUGUCUAGCUCAGGGCUUGUAAAAGCACCAAUCAGUGCCCUGUCAAAACAGACCACUGGGCUCUACCAAUCAGCAGGAUGUGGAUGGCGGGGGUUGGCGGGGGGCAGAUAAGAGAAUAAAAGCAGGCUGCCAGAGCCAGCAGUUGCAACCUGCUCAGGUCCCCUUCUACACUGUGGAAGCUUUGUUCUUUCGCUCUUUGCAAUAAAUCUUGCUACUGCUCACUCUUUGGGUCCACUCUGCUUUUAUGAGCUGUAACACUCACCGCGAAGGUCUGCAGCUUCACUCCUGAAGCCAGUGAGACCACGAGCCCACCUGGAGGAAGGAACAACUCCAGAGGCCCUGCCUUAAGAGCUGUAACACUCACCGCGAAGGUCUGCAGCUUCACUCCUGAAGCCAGCGAGACCACGAGCCCACCUGGAGGAACAAACAACUCCAGAGGCGCCGCCUUAAGAGCUGUAACACUCACCGCGAAGGUCUGCAGCUUCACUCCUGAGCCAGCGAGACCACGAACCCACCAGAAGGAAGAAACUCCGAAAACAUCUUAACAUCAGAAGGAACAAAUUCCAGACGCGCCAUCUUAAGAGCUGUAACACUCACCGCGAGGGGCGUGGCUUCAUGCUUGAAGUCAGUGAGACCAAGAACCCACCAAUUCUGGACACAUUAUGACCUUUGUUUCCUGCCAUGGAAGAAAAUUUAAAUUCCCAGGCUGAAGAAGCAAAUUAGGCCUCUCAAGCAGAAACCAACAGGAGUUUAUAGGAAUGAAUGCAGGAGGAAAUGACACCUGAGUUGAGCAGUAAGAGUGUAUCACAAACUCAUGAAAAAUUUCAUAGAUGUCUCAGAAGAAGCAGUGAAAAAUAUUGGUUCUGAGAAGCAAUCAUCAGCCAGUAAGUUUGUAUGUCAUUUGGUGCCAAACAACCUUAGGUCUUGUCCCAGUUUUAUAUGAUUUUGACCAUUCAUUUAGUGUAUUUAAUUUCCACUAUCACUUUUUACAAUGGGAUUAUUGAUUCUACUUAUUUUAUAUGUCUGCUUUAUUAUUAAAUAUCUGACCUAAGGUCUCUAAGUGCAUAAUCACAUUCAAUGUUCACAAUAUUCUAUGGACUUUCUAGGCUCCCACAUUAAGUGAUACAAUGCAUGUAAAAUACUUACAUAAUACCUGAAAAAUAGAAAUUAUCCAAAAAUAUUACUACUAAUAUUAUGGAAGUUAUCAUGUUUAUGAGGAAAAUAUUCAUCAAAUUAUGAACCAAAUGAAUGGUUUAUAAAAUAAAGGAAUGAUCCAGUGUCUGGUAGGCAUAUA
rnacentral:lncRNA from 1 species